rnacentral:lncRNA from 1 species
UUAAAGCCUCUAUCGAAGAAAGGUCUUUAUUUAACACGUUCAGUGCCACCGACUCGCCCGGAGAGUCCACGUAAAUUUUAUUCCAGCGCCGUAGACUCGCCUCGCGAGUUCAAUGUUUUUGCAAUUUUUUUUCAAAAUGCAUGUGUAUUUUCUGCUUAAAAUAAUACUGAAGACUAAAUAUACACUAAUCUAAUGAAUAACGUGGUGGGCCGGGUGUGCAGACCAGUUUAUAAUCGAAAGAAAAUAAACUAUUCUGCAAUGCCUUGAACUCGCUAGGCGAGUUCACUAACAUAGAUUCUCAAACUUUUAUAAAUGAAAUAUAUAAAAGGUAGAUACUUUUAUUUUCAUUUUACCAAAAGUCACAUUCACUCGUAAAACAACGGCGGAUUGUGUUCGACACCUUGUAGGGGCUCGAAUUUGGUGUUCACCAAAUGGGUACUUCUAAGUUUUUGAGUCUGUCCUUGCGUUUUUGUUAAACGAACGGUGCAGAAAACACAAACUCAACUCUCGGUCUAUUACUUUAAGAGUUACAACUGAAAGAGGAUCCCUUCGCAUUGUUAAAAAUUGCCGGCAAAACAAAAGGAACCGGUAUUUUUCAACAUGAACGCUCUGGUUAGUAAGCAAUAAAAGCACUGAUAACAUUGUUUUUGCCAAGCUCUCAUUGGUCAAUCUCGAGUGAAGUGUUGUAACAAACCCGACUUUCUUUAUAUAUAGAUUAGUGUUAAGCACGACCCUUUCCUUAUCGCACGCGUGUAUUUGUUUUCUAUCAUUGUGACUUGGCUUUCGAUUACUGGACCUGUUGGAGUACCUACUGUUUUAACCCCAGGCAAACGUUUUCUGGACUUUGAGAUUCUUGUGUUCUAUGUUAUUGUGUUUUGUGGUGGCCUGAAAAUAAGGGUCAAAAGUUGCCGCAGCUUGACUUCUGAAAAUCUGCAAUAUGGAUCCUUACGAGAACCCCAUACCUGGAACUUCUCAAUCCUGGGAAGACCCCGCUUGGAACACGCUCCAUAUAGAAGAGACACUCAGGAUGAUGGAUCCAUUAAAUGAAGAUCCAAGGCACAUGUAGCACUAAAAAUAUACCAGACACUAUUUAAUAAAUUUCGAAAGUAAUUAAAAUGUAACUUUACUCAAAACAUCUAUACAUAUAAUAAGAAAAUCUGUUUAUAAAAACAAUAUAAGAUAUCAACAAUAAUCAGUAUUUGUAAGAUUGAGAGCCACUGCAUAAAUUACGAAACAAACUUACCUUUUCGUUUAUUUAUAGUGUUUCUUGCCAUUUUCUUUUUGUUAAAUUACACCAUAUACUAGUUAAUUGCUUUAAACACGUAACGUACACUGUCACGGCCACAAAAAUAACAGAACAUAGUUUUUACCCUAACGCAAUGCCACUGAACUCGCGUGGCGAGUCGAAUGAUUCGUAUCGCAGCGCCGGCGACUCACCUAGCGAGUCCAACGUAAAAUGUAGGCGGCUCCCGAGAAAACAUCGUGAAAAUCGUAGCGGUAAUGAAAGUGUUAA